GGGCGAAUAGCUCAGCUGGCAGAGCAUCUGCUUUACACGCAGGGGGUCACAGGUUCGAGUCCUGUUUCGCCCACCA
rnacentral:tRNA from 2 species